rnacentral:rRNA from 1 species
GGGGAAUAUUGCACAAUGGGCGCAAGCCUGAUGCAGCCAUGCCGCGGGUAUGAAGAAGGCCUUCGGGUUGUAAAGUACUGUCAGCGGGGAGGAAGGUGUUGUGGUUAAUAACCGCAGCAAUUGACGUUACCCGCAGAAGAAGCACCGGCUAACUCCGUGCCAGCAGCCGCGGUAAUACGGAGGGUGCAAGCGUUAAUCGGAAUUACUGGGCGUAAAGCGCACGCAGGCGGUCUGUCAAGUCGGAUGUGAAAUCCCCGGGCUCAACCUGGGAACUGCAUUCGAAACUCGCAGGCUAGAGUCUUGUAGAAGGUGGCGGAAUUCCAGGUGUAGGAGUGAAAUCCGUAGAUAUCUGGAGGAACAUCAGUGGCGAAGGCGGCCACCUGGACCGGUAUUGACGCUGAGGUGCGAAAGCGUGGGGAGCAAACA